rnacentral:rRNA from 1 species
CAUCCACAGAACUUUCCAGAGAUGGAUUGGUGCCUUCGGGAACUGUGAGACAGGUGCUGCAUGGCUGUCGUCAGCUCGUGUUGUGAAAUGUUGGGUUAAGUCCCGCAACGAGCGCAACCCUUAUCCUUUGUUGCCAGCGGUUCGGCCGGGAACUCCAAGGAAACUGGCAGUGAUAAACUGGAAGAAGGUGGGGAUGACGUCCAGUCAUCAUGGCCCUUACGACCAGGGCUACACACGUGCUACAAUGGCAUAUACCAAGAGAAGCGACCUCGCGAGAGCAAGCGGACCUCAUAAAGUAUGUCGUAAUCCGGAUUGGAGUCUGCAACUCGACUCCAUGAAGUCGGAAUCGCUAGUAAUCGUAAAUCAGAAUGCUACGGUGAAUACGUUCCCGGGCCUUGGACACACCGGCCGUCACACCAUGGGAGUGGGUUGCAAAAGAAGUAAGUAGCUUAACCUUCGGGAGGGCGCUUACCACUUUGUGAUUCAU